rnacentral:rRNA from 1 species
UACAGAGGGGGCAAGCGUUAUUCGGAAUUAUUGGGCGUAAAGGGCGCGUAGGCGGCUCUUCAAGUGACGGGUGAAAUCCCUCGGCUUAACCGAGGAACUGCCUGUCAGACUGGAAGGCUUGAGACCGGGAGAGGUGAGUGGAAUUCCCAGUGUAGCGGUGAAAUGCGUAGAUAUUGGGAGGAACACCAGUGGCGAAGGCGGCUCACUGGACCGGAACUGACGCUGAGGCGCGAAAGCGUGGGGAGCAAACAGG